UCAACCAACAUGACCUUCCUUAUGCUGACUCCAGGAGUACGUAUACAACUACAGAAAAAUGUCUUGAUGCAUUACAUGGUAACAAACUACACACUGUACGCACAGGCGUGAGCACUAAAAUAACAAUCAUCARAUCGUUUAUUUAAAACAUUUUAGGGAAAGUCAAGGCUUUGUCCUGAACAAGACCACAAGGACACAUUCGAUAUAUCAACUGUCCUCAGAGGACAUCACGGAGCUGAAACAGUGGUUGAAAAGAGUGUGCAAUGACUCUUAUGUCCUGGCUCCAGCUCAGUACGGCAUCUGCAUAGAAGAAGAAAUCAGGUCAUUUAAUCAGCGAGCCAUGCACGUGAGAAAGGCCCAGCGUCUUCACAACCUCCUCAUGAUGAAAGGCAAAGAAGGCCUGCAGAGCGGCAUCAAAGAGUUUAGAUCCAUAUGUGACAAACUGGACAGAGUAGACUAACAAAACCAUGGGGAUUGCCGGGGACACCACAGGGGCAGUGGGAGGAGUGGCCGCAGUGGUCGGCAUUGCCUUGGCUCCCGUGACCAUGGGCACCUGGCUGAUCGCCACAGCCAUUGGCGCUGGUUUCGCUGCAUCCGCUGGAGGUUUUGGCGCUCACGUUGCUAAAGUCAACAAGAAGAUUGUGAACUAGCAAACAAUGGAGAAGCUGGUGAAUAAGUCAGACGCUUGUGAUCUCAAAUGUUGUCUGCAUUUCGUACUCUGCGCCAUGAACGAGCUGCAAAGGCACAACGUCGACAGGCUGCAGAGGGCAGGAGCUCGUCCUGAAGCUCUGAGGAUUGCAGAGUUGUCCCAGGUUGUGUUCAGYAACCACGUGGACAACGAUAGAGAGAUGUCUCUUACCCAUGCAGGUGGGGUGACAUGUGGAUGCCUGCCUAAAGCUUUCACCAGUGAAUUUGAUCAGUAUUUCACACAGAAGAAUGGCAUUUUGGCAGAAGCUGAAGAAGUCGAACAAGAGCAGAUUUUCAAGUAGAGUGUCUACUCUGAUCAAAAAUCUGCAAGAGAAACUAGAUUAUUUGAAUCAAAUGUGGGAAAUUUUAAGCUGAAUAAAGAAUUAGUUUU